GUGCCAGCAGCCGCGGUCAUACCGGCAGCCCGAGUGAUGGCCGAUCUUAUUGGGCCUAAAGCGUCCGUAGCUGGCCGCGCAAGUCCGUCGGGAAAUCCAUCAGCCCAACUGAUGGGCGUCCGGCGGAAACUGCACGGCUUGGGACCGGAAGACUCGAGAGGUACGUCCGGGGUAGGAGUGAAAUCCCGUAAUCCCGCACGGACCACCGAUGGCGAAAGCAUCUCGAGAAAACGGAUCCGGCAGUGAGGGACGAAAGCCAGGGUCUCCAACCGGAUUAGAAACCCCUGUAGUCC
rnacentral:rRNA from 1 species